rnacentral:tRNA from 1 species
CCUGGUGGCUAAGAUGGUAAAGAAUCUGCCUGCAAUGCAGGAGACCCGGGUUUGAUCCCUGGGUCAGGA